rnacentral:rRNA from 1 species
CAGCCGCCGCGGUAAUACCGGCGGCCCGAGUGGCGGCCACUAUUAUUGGGCUUAAAGCGUCCGUAGCCGGGUUGGUUAGUCUCCCGGGAAAUCUGGCCGCUUAACGGCCAGAAUUCCGGGAGAUACUGCCAGCCUAGGGACCGGGAGAGGCCGAGGGUAUUCCCGGAGUAGGGGUGAAAUCCUAUAAUCCCGGGAGGACCACCUGUGGCGAAGGCGCUCGGCUGGAACGGGUCCGACGGUGAGGGACGAAGGCCAGGGGAGCAAACCGGAUUAGAUACCCGGGUAGUCCUGGCUGUAAACGAUGCGGACUUUGUGUCGGACAAGCUAUGAGCUUGUCCGGUGCCGGAGGGAAACCGUUAAGUCCGCCGCCUGGGGAGUACGGCCGCAAGGCUGAAACUUAAAGGAAUUGGCGGG